UACGUAGGGGGCUAGCGUUGGUCCGGAAUCAUUGGGCGUAAAGCGCGUGUAGGCGGUUCGGUAAGUCCGCUGUGAAAGUCGGGGGCUCAACCCUCGAAUGCCCGGUGGAUACUGUCGAACUAGAGUGCGGAAGAGGCGAGUGGAAUUCCUGGGUGUAGCGGUGAAAUGACGCAGAUAUCAGGAGGAACACCAAUAGCGAAGGCAGCUCGCCUGGGACGGUACUGACGCUGAGGUGCGAAAGCGUGGGGAGCAAACAGG
rnacentral:rRNA from 1 species